rnacentral:rRNA from 1 species
UGCCAGACUCCUACGGGAGGCAGCAGUGGGGGAUAUUGCACAAUGGGGGGAACCCUGAUGCAGCGACGCCGCGUGGGUGAAGGAGCGUUUCGGCGCGUAAAGCCCUAUCGGCAGGGAAGAAGGAGGACGGUACCUGACUAAGAAGCCCCGGCUAACUACGUGCCAGCAGCCGCGGUAAUACGUAGGGGGCAAGCGCUAUCCGGAUUUACUGGGUGUAAAGGGAGCGUAGGCGGCGAUGCAAGUCAGAAGUGAAAGCCCGGGGCUCAACUCCGGGACUGCUUUUGAAACUGUGUUGCUAGAUUGCAGGAGAGGUAAGUGGAAUUCCUAGUGUAGCGGUGAAAUGCGUAGAUAUUAGGAGGAACACCAGUGGCGAAGGCGGCUUACUGGACUGUAAAUGACGCUGAGGCUCGAAAGCGUGGGGAGCAAACAGGAUUAGAUACCCCGGUAA